UACGUAGGGUGCAAGCGUUGUCCGGAAUUAUUGGGCGUAAAGAGCUCGUAGGCGGUUCGUCGCGUCGGCUGUGAAAACCCGGAGCUCAACUCCGGGCCUGCAGUCGAUACGGGCGGACUUGAGUGUUGCAGGGGAGACUGGAAUUCCUGGUGUAGCGGUGAAAUGCGCAGAUAUCAAGAGGAACACCUGAGGUGAAGACGGGUUGCUAGGCUGACACUGACGCUGAGGCGCGAAAGCCAGGGGAGCAAACGGG
rnacentral:rRNA from 1 species